UCACAAUAACUGGUGCAAUUAGUUACUUUGCUUUGGUUGAAAAUGCUGCAGUACAAAGACUCUUGCUGAAUACUCCAACAUUUUAGCUACUCUGGUACCAGCCAGAAGCCAAAGAUAAAAAUCUGUGUUCAUGGAGUUGCUUGCUCCAAGGGUGUCAGAAGUGUCAUUUCUUACACACUGAGCAGUGAUGCCUUUCUUGUAUUGUAUUUGGUGAGGUGAGCAUUGAACUCCCUCCAGAUGAACUUAAUUACAGAGAAUGAGCCUAUUUCUCACUAAGUGGAAAAAAAUUGUUUAAUUGUAUUUACAAGGCAAAAUCUAACGGAACAGGGAGAUAAAUUCAAUCUUAGCUCCAUUUUUCACACAAGAGACACAGUCAGGCUUUGUGCCGAUUAGAAAAAUUCACACUGAAGGAACCAUUUAUAACACACCAGAAUAACACGAAACAUUUGGCCCUGAGGGAGGUGGGAACAGAGUCUGAGACUUCCCUCUAAUCUGGUUCCUUUAUCAUUUUCCCCACUUCUCAGUUCCUCACUCCCAUCACUUGGCAGCCCCACUGUGUAUUUAUGCUUCAUCUCUUUCAGGGAAGGAGAUAGGUGUUUGCGGGAUUUUCUGCCUCAGGUACCAAAAUACCCUCAGUUCUUAAGAAGCAAUGCAUGGUACUGAAGCUGCUUUCUCAACCCAUGGAAAUCUUAUCCCAUAAGACCUCUGGCUUCUGAGAUUUCAUGAUGUAUUAACCCUCACACAUUCAACACAUAUCCACAACUUAUGGCUAGAAACAUCCAGAGGACGAGGAGUGCUCAGGGACACAGUCUGCUGUGACGGAGCGGGAGAGAGCAGAGGAGAGGUGGGCCUGGCAAUGUCUCCUAGGGAGAGGCGACAAAGAAGAGACUCAUCUCCCUAGGCAGAGCACCUGUCUUCAGGCCAGGAAUUUCUGCAGGGACUGGGAUUCUUGUGAGUAGCUGUGAAUUCUCUGCCUCUGCUUAAAAGCUUGACAGGUAAGCAGGAAAUUUUGUUGGAACAACUUCACAACUCCCAUGCAGUCCUGAAACCCUUGCCACUGAUCUUGGACACCUGAACCUUGGCCUUGAUCCUGAAGUGGACUUAUUGUUACUAUCCCUUUGCCUUGUGAGAGCACCUGGACUAUAUAUUCUGUU